UACGUAGGGGGCAAGCGUUGUCCGGAAUCAUUGGGCGUAAAGCGCGCGUAGGCGGCCCGGUAAGUCCGUUGUGAAAGUCAAAGGCUCAACCUUUGAACGCCGAUGGAUACUGCCGGGCUAGAGUCCGGAAGAGGCGAGUGGAAUUCCUGGUGUAGCGGUGGAAUGCGCAGAUAUCAAGAGGAACACCUGCGGCGAAGGCGGGUUGCUGGGCCGACACUGACGCUGAGGCGCGAAAGCCAGGGGAGCGAACGGG
rnacentral:rRNA from 1 species